GGAACUGGCGCUAAUAUCCUGAUAGGUGAGGAUGCCUGAAUGGUUUCUCACUCAAAGGGCUUUAGGAACAUGCUUCUAAAGUCGCCUUGGGGAUGGGCCCGCGACCCGAUCAGGUUGUUGGUGAGGUAAUGGCUCACCAAGCCUAUAACCGGUACGGGCCGUGAGAGCGGUAGCCCGGAGAUGGGUAUUGAGACAAGGACCCAGGCCCUACGGGGCGCAGCAGUCGCGAAAACUCCGCAAUGCACGAAAGUGUGACGGGGCUACCCCGAGUGCCAUCCGCUGAGGAUGGCUUUUCCUUGGUAUAACUAGCCAGGGGAAUAAGGAGAGGGCAAGAUUGGUGUCAGCCGCCGCGGUAAUACCAGCUCUCCGAGUGGUAGGGAUGAUUAUUGGGCUUAAAGCGUCCGUAGCCGGCUUAGCAAGUCUCCUGUUAAAUUCAGCGACCUAAUCGUUGAGCCGCGGGAGAUACUACUAGGCUAGGAGGCGGGAGAGGUCGACGGUACUUCUGGGGUAGGGGUGAAAUCCUAUAAUCCCAGGAGGACCACUAGUGGCGAAGGCUGUUGACUAGAACGCGCUCGACGGUGAGGGACGAAGGCUGGGGGAGCAAACCGAAUUAGAUACCCGGGUAGUCCCAGCCGUAAACGAUGCGGGCUAGGUGUUGGGGUGGCUACGUGCCACUUCAGUGCCGCAGGGAAACCAUUAAGCCCGCCGCCUGGGGAGUACGGCCGCAAGGCUGAAACUUAAAGGAAUUGGCGGGGGAGCACCACAAGGCGUGAAGCCUGCGGUUCAAUUGGAUUCAACGCCGGAAAUCACUAGUGAAU
rnacentral:rRNA from 1 species